rnacentral:misc_RNA from 1 species
UCCCAGUUGUCUCCCAUGAAAACUUCCUGUUAAACACGCAACAUGCUGGCGAGAAUUGCAAUUGAGUGAUCGAAUGUUUUUAAGAUGUCGAGCCUUUUGUUGGUCGGACAAUACCAGCUAUAUCACUUACAUUGAUAACAUUUCAAAGAACUACCCGAAUACCGUAUGUCACAUAUUGAAGAAUUCUCAAGAAACUGUUAACAAGAAUAUAGCGUGCGCGAAAACUGGAUCUCUUACUCGUCAGAAAUGAUAGUUGCGAAUGUGGCAUGAACACUGACAUUUGAGGGCCGACAUAUUACAAGUUCGUCACUGAACAGGUGCCUUAAGUGUCGUACUUUUGACCAAUCACUGCAUAUUUUGGACAUAAUCCCAGGUCAAAUCCAAAAUAUACAAUAUGCCUGCCCUGUGCGAAAAGACGGUUGAUGAUAUCGAGGACAUAGUCUCUCAGCAUGAUUUGGGUUCUUAUGACAGAGACAUAUCUCGCUCGGAAGUGCUGCCACGGGCUCGCAAGUCAAAAGUUACGAAGCGACAUAUGUCAAUAGAAGAGAAUGUUGAAGCUGAUAGUUAUAUUCCAGGAACCCACAAGGUGUAUGUAAAGACCUGGGGCUGCUCUCACAAUAACUCUGACAGUGAAUAUAUGGCUGGACAGCUAGCAGCAUACGGUUACAAAAUCACAGAGGAGAAAGAGAAAGCCGACCUGUGGCUGCUGAACAGCUGUACUGUGAAAAGUCCAGCGGAAGAUCACUUCCGGAAUGAGAUCACUCGGGCUCGCGAGCUGGGCAAACAACUGGUGCUGGCGGGGUGUGUUCCUCAAGGUCAACCCAAGGCCGAUUACAUCCAGGGGCUGAGUGUCUUGGGAGUGCAGCAGAUAGACCGGGUCGUGGAGGUCGUUGAGGAAACCCUGAAAGGUAAUUCAGUUCGACUACUUGGUCAGAAGAAACAAGAAGGCAAGAAAACAGGUGGCGCCUCACUCAGCCUACCCAAGAUUCGCAGGAACCCGCUCAUCGAGAUCAUCGCCAUCAACACAGGAUGCCUGAAUCAGUGCACGUACUGCAAGACGAAGCACGCCCGGGGGGACCUGGGCAGCUACGAACCUGCCGCCAUUGUAGCCCGGGCGAUACAGUCAUUUGAGGAGGGUGUUGUCGAGAUAUGGCUGACAUCGGAAGACCUUGGCGCCUACGGUCAUGACAUUGGCGUCACAUUGCCCGAGUUGCUAUGGCAACUUGUUGAGGUUAUCCCAGAGGGUGCCAUGAUGAGACUGGGGAUGACCAACCCUCCAUACAUCCUGGAACAUCUUGAGGAGAUGGGGAAGAUCCUGCAGCACCCCCGAGUCUACUCCUUCCUUCACGUGCCCGUCCAGUCUGCCUCCGACAGCGUUCUCAUGGACAUGAAGCGGGAGUACUGUCUGGACGACUUCAAGCAUGUCGUGGAUUUCCUCAGAAGCAGAGUACCAAAUGUUACCAUAGCAACAGAUAUUAUUUGUGGAUUUCCUACAGAAACAGAAGAGGACUUCGUGGAGACGAUGGAGCUGGUGAGGGAGUACAAGUUCCCCAGUCUCUUCAUCAACCAGUUCUUCCCCCGACCAGGCACCCCGGCUGCUAAGAUGAACCGCAUACAUCCCCAGGAGGUAAAGAAGAGGACGAAAAGAGUCUCUGAACUGUUUCAGUCUUACAGCCCGUACGAACACAAGCUGGGAGAGAAGCAGACGGUGUUGGUGACAGAGACCUCCCACGACAAUCAGUUCUACGUCGCACACAACAAGAGUUACGACCAGGUGCUAGUUCGUAAGGAUGACAACCUGAUGGGCAAGAUGGUGGAUGUGGAGAUCGUGGAGACGGGUAAACACUUCCUCAAGGGGAGACAACUGAAAGGCAAGGAUGCUGUUCGCCCAGCAGUUCCUCCACCAAAGAAGAAGGGCGAGGUCUCGGGUGUUGAGCUGGCAGAGCAGCAGGCUUCCCAUUCUGUUUUGAUGUGGGUGGCUGUGGGUGCUAUUGCCCUGGGUAUGGCCUGGAGGCUGUGCAACAUCCUGCUGACAUGGGCCCAGUGACCUGACCGGGAUGGGAGGCUCAGAGACCUGCUGACUGGGAUGGGAGGCUCAGUGACCUGCUGACAGGAACAGGAGGCUCAGUGACCUGCUGACUGGGAUGGGAGGCUCAGUGACCUGACUGGGAUGGGAGGCUCAGAGACCUGCUGACUGGGAUGGGAGGCUCAGUGACCUGACUGGGAUGGGAGGCUCAGAGACCUGCUGACUGGGAUGGGAGGCUCAGUGACCUGCUGACUGGAACGGGAGGCUCAGUGACCUGCUGACCGGAACGGGAGGCUCAGUGACCUGCUGACUGGAACGGGAGGCUCAGUGACCUGCUGACAGGAACGGGAGGCUCAGAGACCUGCUGACCGGAACGGGAGGCUCAGUGACCUGCUGAGUGGGAUGGGAGGCUCAGUGACCUGCUGACUGGAACGGGAGGCUCAGUGACCUGCUGACCGGAACGGAACGGGAGGCUCAGUGACCUGCUGACCGGAACGGGAGGCUCAGUGACCUGCUGACCAGAACGGGAGGCUCAGUGACCUGCUGAGUGGGAUGGGAGGCUCAGUGACCUGCUGAGUGGGAUGGGAGGCUCAGUGACCUGCUGACCGGAACGGGAGGUUCAGUGACCUGCUGACCGGAUCGGGAGGCUCAGUGACCUGCUGACCGGAUCGGGAGGCUCAGUGACCUGCUGAGUGGGAUGGGAGGCUCAGUGACCUGCUGACCAGAACGGGAGGCUCAGUGACCUGCUGAGUGGGAUGGGAGGCUCAGUGACCUGCUGACCGGAACGGGAGGUUCAGUGACCUGCUGACCGGAUCGGGAGGCUCAGUGACCUGCUGACCGGAUCGGGAGGCUCAGUGACCUGCUGACCGAGAUGGGCAGUUCAGGGACAAUGCUUGUAUCUCCUAAGGCUGUGUGAGAAGUGUUUAAGCUGGUCUGUGAUAUAGACACUCCUCACUCACACUGUAACAUUUUGUUUUAUCGUCAUGUGAGAAUGCUGUAAGUGUGAUUCAUGGACAGUUGGUGGAAGACUGCCACUAUUGUGUUUAUGCAACACAAAGAAUAAACUGAGUAAAAUGAA